rnacentral:ncRNA from 1 species
UAUCCUCUAUCGCCGGAUAGAGGAAUAAAGCGUCAGACUUCAUAUCGUAGGCCCGUGAAGAUAUGAAGUUCUGGCGCUUUUAUUUU